AGAGUUUGAUCCUGGCUCAGGACGAACGCUGGCGGCGCGCCUAACACAUGCAAGUCGAACGAAGUCAAGAGGAGCUUGCUCUUUUUGACUUAGUGGCGAACGGGUGAGUAACGCGUGAGGAACCUGCCUCAAAGAGGGGGACAACAGUUGGAAACGACUGCUAAUACCGCAUAAGCCCACAGCUCCGCAUGGAGCAGAGGGAAAAGGAGCAAUCCGCUUUGAGAUGGCCUCGCGUCCGAUUAGCUAGUUGGUGAGGUAACGGCCCACCAAGGCGACGAUCGGUAGCCGGACUGAGAGGUUGAACGGCCACAUUGGGACUGAGACACGGCCCAGACUCCUACGGGAGGCAGCAGUGGGGAAUAUUGCACAAUGGGGGAAACCCUGAUGCAGCGACGCCGCGUGGAGGAAGAAGGUCUUCGGAUUGUAAACUCCUGUUGUUGGGGAAGAUAAUGACGGUACCCAACAAGGAAGUGACGGCUAACUACGUGCCAGCAGCCGCGGUAAAACGUAGGUCACAAGCGUUGUCCGGAAUUACUGGGUGUAAAGGGAGCGCAGGCGGGAAGACAAGUUGGAAGUGAAAUCUAUGGGCUCAACCCAUAAACUGCUUUCAAAACUGUUUUUCUUGAGUAGUGCAGAGGUAGGCGGAAUUCCCGGUGUAGCGGUGGAAUGCGUAGAUAUCGGGAGGAACACCAGUGGCGAAGGCGGCCUACUGGGCACCAACUGACGCUGAGGCUCGAAAGUGUGGGUAGCAAACAGGAUUAGAUACCCUGGUAGUCCACACUGUAAACGAUGAUUACUAGGUGUUGGGGGAUUGACCCCCUCAGUGCCGCAGUUAACACAAUAAGUAAUCCACCUGGGGAGUACGACCGCAAGGUUGAAACUCAAAGGAAUUGACGGGGGCCCGCAC
rnacentral:rRNA from 1 species